rnacentral:rRNA from 1 species
UGGGGAAUUUUGGACAAUGGGCGCAAGCCUGAUCCAGCCAUGCCGCGUGCGGGAAGAAGGCCUUCGGGUUGUAAACCGCUUUUGUCAGGGAAGAAAUCUUCUGAGUUAAUACCUCGGGAGGAUGACGGUACCUGAAGAAUAAGCACCGGCUAACUACGUGCCAGCAGCCGCGGUAAUACGUAGGGUGCAAGCGUUAAUCGGAAUUACUGGGCGUAAAGCGUGCGCAGGCGGUUUUGUAAGACAGAGGUGAAAUCCCCGGGCUCAACCUGGGAACUGCCUUUGUGACUGCAAGGCUUGAGUGCGGCAGAGGGGGAUGGAAUUCCGCGUGUAGCAGUGAAAUGCGUAGAUAUGCGGAGGAACACCGAUGGCGAAGGCAAUCCCCUGGGCCUGCACUGACGCUCAUGCACGAAAGCGUGGGGAGCAAACAGGAUUAGAUACCCUGGUAGUCCACGCCCUAAACGAUGUCAACUGGUUGUUGGGAAGGUUCCUUCUCAGUAACGUAGCUAACGCGUGAAGUUGACCGCCCGGGGAGUACGGCCGCAAGGUUGAAACUCAAAUGAAUUGACGGGGUCAUAGCUGUUUCCUG